rnacentral:rRNA from 1 species
GACCAAUGGAUAUAGUUGUAUUUUAAUGGUUAAAGGAUAGUUAGGUUAAGAAGUAGAAGAAGAUUUAAAGGGUGGUAUCAUAGAAGACUUAUGUAGAGGUAAAAUUUGGGUAUAAGGUUGGUAUUUUUGUAGUGAUCUUGGGAGCUGAAGCUGUGAAAUUUUGGAUGGAAACUGGGAUUAGAUACCCCAUUAUCCCUGAAUGUAAAUUAUAAUGUGAGUUUACCAGAAUAGUACGGAUUAAGAUGUAGUUGUUUAAAAUUCAAAGGACUUGGCGGUGUUUUAGACUUCUUAGGGGAACCUGUCUCAUAAUCGAUGAUCCACGUUGUACCUAACCUUCUUUUGUGUUGACAGUUUGUAUACCGUCGUCGUCAGGCAACCUUUUAGAGAUUGAGGAGUUGGCAGGAGAACAAUGAGUUUAGAGUUAGUUGUUACGUCAGAUCAAGGUGCAGCUGAUGUGAGGGUGAGGAUGGGUUACAAUUAUAAGAGUUGUAAUUACGGACUUGAUUGCUGAAAUGGUGAUAAUGAUGAAGGAGGACUUAAAAGUAAGAACAGAAUAGAUGGAUGUUUUGAAUUAGGCUCUGAAGCGUGU